AUUGAACGCUGGCGGCAGGCCUAACACAUGCAAGUCGAGCGGAUGAAGGGAGCUUGCUCCUGGAUUCAGCGGCGGACGGGUGAGUAAUGCCUAGGAAUCUGCCUGGUAGUGGGGGAUAACGUCCGGAAACGGGCGCUAAUACCGCAUACGUCCUGAGGGAGAAAGUGGGGGAUCUUCGGACCUCACGCUAUCAGAUGAGCCUAGGUCGGAUUAGCUAGUUGGUGGGGUAAAGGCCUACCAAGGCGACGAUCCGUAACUGGUCUGAGAGGAUGAUCAGUCACACUGGAACUGAGACACGGUCCAGACUCCUACGGGAGGCAGCAGUGGGGAAUAUUGGACAAUGGGCGAAAGCCUGAUCCAGCCAUACCGCGUGUGUGAAGAAGGUCUUCGGAUUGUAAAGCACUUUAGGUGGGGAGGAAGGGCAGUAAGUUAAUACCUUGCUGUUUUGACGUUACCAACAGAAUAAGCACCGGCUAACUUCGUG
rnacentral:rRNA from 1 species